rnacentral:tRNA from 1 species
GGAAGGGUGCGGCGAAUGGUAAGCCAGCGGAUUGCUAAUCCGUAACCGUGUAAAAAACGGUUUGUGGGUUCAAGUCCCACCCCUUCCGCAA